UACAGAGGUGCCGAGCGUUAGGCGGAAUCACUGGGCUUAAAGAGCGUGUAGGCGGCCCGAUAAGUCCGCUGUGAAAGUCCAGGGCUCAACCCUGGAAUGCCGGUGGAUACUGUCGGGCUAGAGUCCGGAAGGGGCGAGUGGAAUUCCUGGUGUAGCGGUGAAAUGCGCAGAUAUCAGGAGGAACACCCAUGGCGAAGGCAGCUAACUGGGCAUUAUCUGACGCUGAGGCGCGAAAGCGUGGGUAGCAAACAGG
rnacentral:rRNA from 1 species